CAGUGCUUGGAAUGCAGGAAACGAAUCUGUCAAGGGGAGGCAUGUAUGGAUCUACAUGACGUGUCAGAUGACCUGGGUUCCUGUAAUUGUAAGCCUGGAGAAUUCACUUAAGUUUCUUUAUCUGCAAAAUGGGGAUAAAAUCAUUGUCACAGAGUUGGUGUGAAAAUGAAGCAUUACAUGGCCACGUAAGUGAUCUGUUAACUGUAAAAGUCAAUGUUCACCUAGGGUGGCAGUUCUUAGUAAGCUGUGGCUGGUGGGUGGGAGCAAGCUGAGGAAGCCUGUGGCCUGGACAUGGGCAGGACCAUGAAGGAGAGAUUAGUGAGCAAAACUGCCUGGAUGGAUAGGAAAAAAAUGUAGAUCUGUAAAAAGAAGGGGAAAAUGCAGGAGUACUAGUACGUUAGAAAACAUUGGCAGUACCUCAGAGGCUAUAUGAACUAUCUGGAGAAGUUUAUUUCCUGGCUGUAAUUCCCAGCAAAGGAGGGGAUUGAAUACUGCAGAAGACCAUUUAUUUCUCCAGCUAGGCUCAUCAGCUCAAGCAGUAACAUAUGUGAAAGAAGCGCCUUCUCUCUGUACACAAAAGACAGGGUCUAUAUUUUUUAUAAAAGCCACUAAUGCACUUUGUUAUACAGCAGAAACUAACACAUCACUGUAAAGCAAUUAUAUUCUAAUAACGAUGUUAAUAAAAAAGCCACUAAUGCAAUGUGCGUCCCUGGAAUGUUAGUUGAUGUGGGUCUAAAGGACAAUGUGAGACAUUUCUAGUAACUUUCCACGAUAUGAACAAGGAACUUGAAAAUGUCAAAUACAUUUACAAGUAAAAAAAAAAUUAGUUUUUUUGGAUUCUAAACUCUUUGGAAUCAGACAGUCUUAUGAGAAUCUGUGGUCCCUUAAGCCAUGUAUGUCUAUCCCCUAUCUCCUUUUUGACCUUAUUUCUGGGAAUAUUACACUGUCUGACCUGUUAUUAAUAUUAUAUUAUUCUGUGCCAGAAGAGGUAAGGAAGCUGCAUUUCUAGAAUAGCAUUUGAGUCAUCUGUGAAAUUGCAUAUUACAAUUUCCCACCAUUUCUAACAGUUCUUUAACAUUUUCUUUCUCAACUGGGUAUUCAAAUUCACGUCAGUGACCUCUAGGGGCUAGUUGCUUUUCUAGCUCAAGAGAGAAUUUCUUAAAUCAGAGUUGGGGCUGAGGACAGGAACGUAUAUUCUUCACACCGUUCGGUUUCAGUGGGUAGAAAAUUAGAAACUCGAGGUAUGUGAGAGAUCUGUGUGGAAUUUAAGUACCUUCAAGGAGCAGUAGAAGGACAAAAAGUUAUUUUACCUGUAUGUUUGCAAAUGUCAAAGACCAAGACUGAAAAAAAUAAGGAUGACUUAUAAGGAGUUGGCUGCACUUGCUGGCUGCCCAGGUGGUUCAUUUCAACUGAGGGUCAGAAUAACCUUGUCCUGUGGUCUGUGUGCCCCGGUAUCAGGUUAGGUCUACCUUGCUGCUUAUGUCCUUGGUCACCUUACUAGAGGCUCCAGUCAAACACAUGUCAGUAAAGAAUAAAGUUAUGUAAAUAUGCACACAGACCUAGACAAGAACUUGGCAAAAAUUCAUUCAGCAAUAACCAGGCUCUACAGGACAAAUAUGCCUCAGUUUACAUAACAAAUAAGAAAAACAUCACAGGAUAACAGCAGAGAAAGCAAAGGAUUAGCAGGUAGACAGAUAACACUGGGUUGGAACUUUCACUCUGCCACAUGCACAUGGGUGAUAUCACCGAAAAAGGCAUCUCUCUGUGCCUCAUUUUCCCAAUCUAUAAAGCAGAGAUGGCCACAGGGUUGUUAUGAGGAUUAAAUGAAUAAAAUGAACCCAUCUGUGCAGGCCUGCCUAUUGUGGUACUGGGGCCAGAAAGAUUGCAUAAAUAUUAGGUUCAUUUUUAUUUCUAUAAAAGACAUGAUCCUGAAGAGCUCUACCCAAAUUCAACUUUCAAAUAUCAAAUUCUAUUUUACGAACCCUGAUUCAUGAGCAGCUGAGAUAACCUCUAAUACAUUGCAUUAGUAAUACCACCUUCCCAAUUCAUCAACAUCAAAUAAAUGUGCUAUUGCAGGUGCAAUGAAUCUUUCCCUUCUCUUUUAUUAUUCCAUAACCUUAGGGUUUUAUCUCCCAGAUCUCUUAAAACAGCAAUUUAUACCCACAUAAUAUGAAGAAGGAUCCUGAUCUUGUUAUUCUUUGGAGCAGGUAGGAGCAUCCCAGGACCUAAAUCCUCCCACUUGGCCUCAGCCUGAGAAGAGGAAGAGUGAUAGUCCCAAGCCAUCCUAUACCAUGACACUCUUCUAGUCAUUGUAAGACUCCUUCACCUAUACACUUUUGCACAUCAGCUUUUGCUUUCUUGUCUUCAACAGGAUUUUAUUUAUUUAGCCUCUUGCUAGUUUCUUUGCUACAGAAAAUCCUUCCCCUUUCCCUCUGAUCUUUCCAAGUUGAAGCCUUCAGCAGGUACUUGUUGAAUGCCUGAGUUGUAUUAGGUGGGUGCUAUGGGCACCAUGCUACCAUGGGGGUACUAGAGACACAAGACGUGCACGGUGCAAUCACAGUGCAGGUGGUGUUGACAGGCAGGCUGACCACUGUUGGGGGAGGCAGUGUACACGUUCUGCUGGGCUGUCAUGGUCUUGACUUUACUUAGGCUCUUGGCUUCUCAAGACAGAAAAGGGGUGGGAUGAAAAGAUGAGGAAGGUACACCCCAAUGGAGAUGCUUUCCUUUCUCCUACAACAAAACGUGCCUUUCUUACUCUGACUUCCUUUGAUUUCCCAGGUGACAUUUAGCUCAUCUUGCAAGCUCAUCUCAUGAGUGUAAUUAUAAAUGCUAGUAAAUUAAUAUUACCCAUCAUAUAUAACAUAACUGAAUUUUAACAAUCCAAUGCUGUAACUCCAAAGGACGACUGAAUGGUGAGGACUUCAGUCCUUGUUGUAGGAUAUUUGGGGGAGAGGAAAGCCUUUCAAUGUCAUACCAUGUGGGUGCUUCCUUAGGCAGGUCAUGAGUAAGGUGGAAGUGAGGCUGGGACCCUGCUGAACAGAGGCACAUCCUCAACACUAGAUUUCAGGUGCUUUUUGGCCUAGCUAAUGGUACUUAACUGUUUCAGGAAUCCCUUCUUAGUUUUCGUCUUGGUUUGGGGGAGUUGGAGUAGUCACCCUCUCCACUCUCUGCGUUCAACCUGGCAAAGGUUCCAUCCCUAAGGUGCCAUUAUCUUUCUCGAUCCACAGGGUGAGUCAGAAGGAAAUGUACUCACUCCCAUUCAUUCUCUUUGCUUAAUAUUUCCUGCAAUGGGGUUUCCUUGUGUAACAAACAGCUUCUGUGGGUGUUUGAGGGUCUUUAAAAAGAGAACAUGCUGUUCCUGUGAGUGGAAUGACUUCUGAAGGAAGCACUACAGCAAACAGGGAGCUCUAGUUCCAGGGUUGAGCAGAAGCUUUUCUCACAGGUGGCAGGAGGCUUUAAGGUGGGGCUUGUCUGCAGGAGAUAUAAUGUCCUGACAUUCAAGCCAUCUUCAUUUCCAAUUGAUUGCAGCUGUGGUAUGGAAGAAAACAGUCUUGGGCUCUGGCCUAGGUUCAAGUUCUUCUCAGUCACUGACUGGCCAUUUUCUCAAUCAUAAAAUGGGGUUAAUUAGUAGCAGAAUUGAUUCAGAGGCUUGUUGUGUAUAAACUGAGAUAAUAUGUAGAAAGUGGAGCAUGGCUAAAUGCCCAAUAAGUGGUAGCUGUUUAUGAAAGCAUUGUUGCUACUGGGUUCUUUCCUCACUAUGCAUGGCUUCAGGUAACUGAUAUAAGCUCUGUGAGCCUCAGUUUCCUCAUCUGAGAAGUGGGGUCAAUGAGGAUUAAAUGAGAUGCUGUGCAAGCACUUAGCACACUCUCUGGCAUGAUGCAGAUACUUAAUAGAUGUCAGUUUUCUUAACCCUCACAUCAUCUUUGUCUGCUUGUUGGCUCAUGACUGAAAUUCCUUCAUAAUAAUUUCCAUUGCAGAGGUAUCUUGUUGACAAGUACUACCAAAUGGAACUGAUUUUUAAAAACCAUCCUUUAAAAUUUUCUCCUUAAGGUGGAAAGAAGGAAAAAGAAUACGGGUAUUUGGGCACCUGGAGAAAAACCCAGGAAAGGGAACAGGGGAGCAGAGAUUGGCAAAGAUAAGCAUCUUGUCUUCUACCAUCCUCCACAGGGAUCUUGUCAGCUCUACACCCUCCCGUCCAAAGUUCUCAGCCUCAAGAAUCAGGAAACUCUGCCCCACAACUUGUAAGAAUCCAGGAGUCCAAGCUUUAAUGAACCUUGGAGGUGGGGAGGGUACAAAUUUUUGAUAACCAUUGUUUAUAAGGUAGGUGGCUCUCCACAUUUGGAGACUGUCUCCGCUACCUGUGGACCUGUGGACUUCACUCUUACAAACCCAGAGCACACUAGCAUCCCUCUAGGCUAUUUUGGUUAAACCCCAACACUUAACGCUGUAAAAGUUUCCCUCCAUAUGCCCCUUUGGUCUUCCUGCAUCAGAGAUCUGGAGUCACAACCGCAUCAAGAACCGUAGUUUGAUGAUUAAUUAGGCACAAAUGUGGCACUAGGGUCUCACAAUGCCCUGUGGGACAUCUGCUACGUUCUUUUCGAUUUUUGCCAUCAAGAUGCAAGUUGCUUCUUAGUGACUAUCAAAUAGUCUUAUUAGUCCUCACUCUGGGCACCACUGCCGGGUGGGGUGGGUGAGGAGAGCUUAGGUACCGUGCAGACCUGGGGAACAGAAGCUGCCACCAGGGGGCGCUCGCCUGCGGAGAGAGUUUGACGGAGGCGGAGCCAGGGAAGAGGGGCGUCUCCGCAGAGAAGCACGGAACCACCUCCCCUCCCUCGUCCUUCACCCACGCGCUUCCUUGCAGUAGGUGAGUUUGAGGAGGUUCCUGGGAUCUUUGCUCUAGAGCGAAAGGCCUUCCCCGCCAGCCCUUGAAAGAUGAGAACCCACACCUUCCACCUCCCGACCAUGCCGCGUGGCUUUGCCUCUCCCGGGGCUCGAGGCUGCCCUUGCCGCUGGGAAUCGAUUGGGCAAAUAGUUUCACCUCUAGAUGCUUAGUCAGACUUCUGUAUUUAAUGACGCCAAAGCAUCCAGCUCCUCUCAGACUCACGUGGCUCAGGGUCUGGGGAGCCGACCCUCAAAGCGUGGCCCCCAACCCGGCAGCAUCAUUUUCAGCAUCACCCCGGACCUGGUUAGGAAUGCAUAUUCUCAGGCCCCGCCCCAGACCUCCCAAAUCCAAGACCGGGGGAGGGGCGCCGUCUGUGCUUUGCUGCUCCUGCGGGUGACUGGGAGGCGCUCGACGGUGACAGCCCCUACCCUGGGGCUUCCUACGUCGCGCAGGCCGCCGGGAGAGCGGAGGCUGCGACAGACGCCUCUGGAAACUUGCAGGGCAGAGAAUAGGCGGCGGGAGCCGGACCAGAGCGGGACCGUCCAGGGCUGCGACUGGCAUCCGGUGCUGCGUUUGGGAUCUGGGCUGCGCGAGGUGCGCUCACUCUCUGCAGCUGGUGCCGCAGCCGGGUGCGGGGAACAGAACUAGUCCGGGAAAAGCAGUGCCGCGUUUCAGUGAUUGCUAGGCGGGUGUGUACAAGUAGGCCAUACCUGUCUAUGAUUCUUUGAGAACAUUAUAAUGUCCCUUUGUGCCUCUUCUCACAAGGAGUUUUCCUAGAUGUUACCUAUUCAAGACAUGGAUAUCAAAAACUCACCAUCUAGCCUUAACUCUCCUGUCUCCUACAACUGCAGUCAAUCCAUCCUACCCCUGGAGCCAGGCCCUAUAUAUAUACCUUCCUCCUAUGUAGAGAGCCACCAUGAAUAUUCAGCCAUGACAUUCUAUAGCCCUGCCGUGAUGAAUUACAGUAUUCCCAAUAACUCGGAAGGUGGGCCUGGUCGACAGACCACAAGCCCAAAUGUAUUGUGGCCAACUCCUGGGCACCUCUCUCCUUUAGCCAUCCACUGCCAGUCGUCACUUCUGUAUGCAGAACCUCAAAAGAGUCCUUGGUGUGAAACGAGAUCAUUAGAACACACCUUACCUGGGAACAGAGAGACAUUGAAAAGGAAGGCUAGUGGAAGCAGUUGUGCCAGCCCUGUUACUAGUCCAAGUUCAAAGAGGGAUGCCCACUUCUGUGCAGUCUGCAGCGAUUAUGCAUCGGGAUAUCACUAUGGAGUCUGGUCGUGUGAAGGAUGUAAGGCCUUUUUUAAAAGAAGCAUUCAAGGACAUAAUGAUUAUAUUUGUCCAGCUACAAAUCAGUGUACAAUAGACAAGAACCGGCGUAAAAGCUGCCAGGCCUGCCGACUUCGGAAGUGCUAUGAAGUCGGAAUGGUGAAGUGUGGCUCCCGGAGAGAAAGGUGUGGGUACCGCGUAGUUCGAAGGCAGAGAAAUUCUGAUGAGCAGCUGCACUGCCUGAGCAAAGCCAAGAAAAAUGGUGGGCACGUGACCCGCGUGAAGGAGCUGCUGCUGAGUGCCCUGAGCCCAGAGCAGCUGGUGCUCACACUCCUCGAGGCCGAGCCGCCCCACGUGCUCGUGAGCCGCCCCAGCACGCCCUUCACCGAGGCCUCCAUGAUGAUGUCCCUGACCAAGCUGGCUGACAAGGAACUGGUACACAUGAUCGGCUGGGCCAAGAAAAUUCCGGGCUUCGUGGAGCUCAGCCUGUACGACCAAGUGCGGCUCUUGGAGAGCUGCUGGUUGGAGGUGCUCAUGGUGGGGCUGAUGUGGCGCUCCAUCGACCACCCCGGCAAGCUCAUCUUUGCUCCAGACCUCGUUCUGGACAGGCUUCUGCAGCGAGAAAACUUGAACCUACUGAGGAUGAGAGGAAAAUCCGGGUAUCUCAGCUUAUUUCUAACAAGGGAUGAAGGGAAAUGUGUAGAAGGAAUUCUGGAAAUCUUUGACAUGCUCCUGGCAACGACUUCAAGGUUUCGCGAGUUAAAACUCCAACACAAAGAAUAUCUCUGUGUCAAGGCCAUGAUCCUCCUCAACUCCAGUGUGUACCCCUCAGCUGAGGCACCCCAGGAGGCUGACAGCAGCCGGAAACUGGCUCAUCUACUGAACGCUGUGACGGAUGCUCUGGUCUGGGUGAUCGCCAAGAGCGGCAUCCCCUCCCAGCAGCAGUCCGUCCGCUUGGCUAACCUGCUGAUGCUCCUUUCUCACGUCAGGCACGCCAGUAACAAGGGCAUGGAACACCUGCUCAACAUGAAGUGCAAAAAUGUGGUCCCCGUCUACGACCUGCUGCUGGAGAUGCUGAAUGCCCACACACUUCGCGGCAGCAAGUCCUCGGUCACAGGGUCCGAGUGCAGCCUGGUGGAGGAAAGUGAGAGCAAAGAGGGCUCCCAGAACCCCCAGGCUCAGUGAUGCCAAGCCCUGGGGUGUGGUCAGGCUGCAGAGGAGGUCAGAGGCCGAAGCGUGAACUCCAGCACAAAUCGUGAGCCCCAUCAGGAGGGGGCGGGCUUCAUCGGCUUUCUGCUGUGUGAUCCCUCAUAUGGCCCCUCAAUACCAUCCUUCCCCGACCUCCCUACUUCCCAGGAGUCAGGGUGAGAAAGCCAGUGCUCCUUGUCACCAGGGGGCACGUUUGAGUGCAGCGUUUAUGUCUUGCUUGGCCUCAUGGGAUCUCAUUGUGGUCCCUCUCACUUCGCAUCUCCCUCCCACCCUUUGGAAAACAUCUUCUUACAGCUUUUGGAAUGACUGGUGGAAAUCUGACUUGGAAGCGUUGUCCAGUAGAAAGGGGAGAGAACGUGGCACAUGCACAGGAAGGGGACUAAGCCUUAUUGUGCCACUUAACCUGCCCAUAGAAUUAGUCCUUUGUAUGCUGCCUCUGGACCACUUGAUUGUAGGAUUGAAAACCACGACGGCAGUCAACUAACUGGUUCCAGACACCUAUCUCACAGGCCUGUGAGGACAGGUGUCACGUAUUGCUGUGACUCUAUCCAAGGCCAGAGGGAAUGUGACCUAGGGAACCAGUGGUCAAGCUGAGAUGCAAGCCACGUUCAUCCCCCAAGAUCUUGCUGCCGCCUUCAUGCAGGUUCACCCCCUCUUGGUUUGCAUUCAGAAAGCCUACAAAUUACUUGGGGUGUGUGUGGGUGUGUGUGUGUGUGUGUGUGUGUGUGUGAGAGAGUGAGUGAUAACCUUCAUGGAGGAGUGUGGAGAUUUAAAUACCCCUACCCCUGGAAUUGCCCUUUGUUAAAACUCUCUUGUCCCAAGGGGCCCAGUGUGUGUGCUAGAGAAAGGACCAGUGUUUGCAGGAAUGGGGUUUCUCCUGUGGGUGUGGGUCACAGCCACAGUGCUCCCCUGGGGAAGCCACAACUGCCACCUCAGCCACCCAGGGGAGACAGGGACACUUCAGGCUGUGUGUGUGAGGCAUGCUGUUGCACAGAAGGAUGAACAGCUACACACACGUCAGCGUGUCAUGUUCAGGGCCAAACCGUAUAGACGGGGUGAGCGUACCACUUGAACAAGAUUGUGAACUCUUUAAAAAAGAGAAAUAUUUAGGGUUAGUAUUUAUAGCAAGAAAAUUCUUUUAUACCCUAGGGCUCUUCUAGAAUAUUUUCUUAUCAGAACAUUUAUAUGGUGGGUUGGGUGAAAUAAAAAGUUAGUAAAAUAUUAGUUCUUAUUCCAAGUGGAACAUAAAUAGGACAUGGUGACAAAGCACCUCUGAAAUUACAAUUUUAACUCACUUUUUAAAAACUGAAAUUUUCAUACAAAUUUUCAGGAACAUAGUGAAUGCAUAAAACGAGUUACAUCUAUACUUUGGAAGAGAGUAGUUAAAUAAUAUGUGUGAUUUUUGCAAUGUUUUUAAACAUUACCUUGUGAUAGGAGAUUAAACACACUUUCUUUUUGAAAAUAGUAAAUACAGAAAUGUGCUAGCCACAGUAAACCAAAGUCAUUAGGAAGAUUACAUUCAAUAACACAAGGUUGGUUUCUGCCAGUGUGAUCUUGAAUAAUUCUUAAUUUUGAUAUCAAUGCAGUUUUACUAAAAAAGUUGAGCAAAGCUGUAUCAGAAACUCUUGGCCAUGUACCUAGAGAACACACCGUUGUCUGUAUUCUGAGGUGAUUUGAAAUUAUUCUUAGUGACUUGUUGCAGCCUCAGCAAGAUUGAGUACAGCAAAUAUAUUUGAUUUUGUAGGAACGAGGGAACCAGUAUUUUUCAGCAGGUCAAUUUUCUUUCCAGCCAGUUUAGGAGCCCCCAUGACAAACAAGGGGGUGGAGGCUAGAGAGUGGGAAGCGGGAGGCAAAGGAAGGCAGCCGUGAACAGUUAUUUGCCAAUGAAAUUCUCUUAAUUGUAUUUAUAAAAGAGACUACCAGGUUGAAAAAGCAAAAAUAAAAAAACAAAAACAAAACAGAAUGAGGUCUAAGCCGCAACCCCAUUACUAUGUAGUGAAGUUUUGCAGGUUGGAUUUUGACGCCAAGGUAGGCAACCGAUUUGUCUCAGGUGUCCUAGCACCUGUCUGUGCUGCACCCUGUGUGUCACCCGCACGGUGCACGCUCUUAUGAAAACUCCUCCAGUGCCCACUGCCCAUUUUCCACAGACACUCCUGCAUGCUUCUUGGGGCUGCUUGUUUCACUGCAUUUGGAUUUAGCCCAUGAGGAGCAUGUAACACUUUUGGUCAUUUCUUCUUGGCUGUGGUCUCACCUAGGUGUGCUGAGGAAACCAGUCAGUCAGUCCAACCUGAGAGGCCGCCCUGGUGCAAGGCUGUCUCUUAGACUGGGGUCUGGGCCAAGUAGGCAGCUGAGAUAAUAAGGUCUAUAGUUUAAAGGUGUUCUUUGAGUAUUCUAGGGCCCUUUCCCCCUUUCAGAUGAAGUGUGUGAUCUCUGUUCCCAGCUGCUCCAAACAUGUCCUCUAAGGAUGACAAAGUGCAAAGUCAGGCUGCUGUUUUUCUGGGUUUUGAGUAAACCCUCCAUGUCCAUUUUAAAGAUUAGCCAUUUCUCUUUAAUAGUGCUUUCUUAAAAAAAAAACAACAAAACACAGUGCUUUCUUUUAAACGUCUUCUUUUGGACCCAAAUGGUCCAUGGGCAACUUAAAUUUCUCCCAUAGCUAAGCACAGUGUUUUCAAAUUCAGUUUUUAAAAGGAAUUAAUUAGAGAGGAUAGGACCUGACAACUGUAAACAAGAAUUAAAUUGAGUAUUGGGAAAAAAAUAACCCACCCAACUACAUUUUAUGUAUCAUGGAAAAGGAAUGCUCAGCUUUGCCUUAGACUCGUAUGGUGAGAUUCCUUUCCUACAUUUUGGUUUGUAAGUGAUCAUUUAAUACGACAAACUAAGUUGUGGGGGAUGAGUGAGAUUUGAGCUAAAUUCCAAAAACAUGAGUGUCUAAUAUGGGAAUCAUAUAGACAAAUUUUAAUGAUAAUUAACAUGGAAUAUUCUUAAUACAGAAACCACUAGCGCAGUGUUCACGCAGGUUCCUGGGAGAGCUGGCAGCUGCUGAAAAGGACCCACAUGGGCCACCCCAGGAGAGCUGCACAGUGAGUUGUCCACGUUCCAACUGUAUCUCCCUCCGUCCCCACCACAUCCUCUCCUUGUGGCCUCAGGCCUGUCACAUGCUCAGGGUCCACCAGGACUAACUACAAAGGAUUCAACCCUAAAAUAAUUUUUGAAGAGAUUUAUCUUCAAAAAUUGUGGUGGGAGCAGCAGAUUAAGUUGUCAGCUCAAGAUCAUUUCUGGAGGGUCUUAACUAUUAAAAACAAAACAAUGCAAAAUCAACAAAAGCUCUUCAGUGAGACAGUCUUUAUCUGGAUUACUUCCUCUGCUAACUCAGCUGGAAGACCAAUUAUUUUCAGUUUCAUUAAAAAAAUAUCAGUUCCCAAUUCUUGGCAGAGCUACGUUAUAUAUUCAUAUCUAUAGGCUAUGUUGUUGAAGCAAUUCUAGAAUGUUCUAUCAUGUGAAAACCGAGUUUGGUUGUUACUUAAAUCUGCUAAGAAACUUGCAUAUAUUGAUACUUUUUCAAAUUCCAAGGUGAACCUUCAGUUUCUAGUCUAUUUUGAAAUGAAACAUUUUUAUUUAAGAUUUGACACAUUUCUUUAAACUGCUAAAAAAUCUUAAAAAGACAUAAUAAAGGAAAUGAUAAAAAUAAGUUGUUUAGUACCCAAAAAUAGUAUUUGCAGAACACUGACUGUGUGCCAGGCACAGUGCUCAGUGCCUCAAUACAUUCAUAUUUAAUCCUCAUACUAACUGCUGUUAUCCCAGUUUUCCGGGUCUGGAACCUAGAGCCUAAGCAAACUUGCUCAAGGUCACACAAGGGAGUAAGUGACAGAGCUGAAAGUAAUCAUGCGGUUUAAAAAAACUAAAGGAAGAAUACUUUUAGACUGCAGAAUCCAUUCGUCAAAUGCAGUCUGACAUGCGCGGCUACUCUGGUUUAAAUGGCUCCAUUUCCAGAACACCCAGUAGAAGAGAGUUCAGUCCCAUCUUUUGUACACGUGUAAAUUAAAGCCUGGAGGGGUAAAUGGACCUGCUGAAGGUCAUAAAACUACUUAACGGCAAAACUGGGACCAGAAUUCAGGUCUUCUGCCUGCCUGGCCAGCACUGCUCCUGCUACAGACUUGCUUCCAUAGGAGUCUGCUGCUUGAGCUGAGUCUCGGUGCAUAGAGGAGAGACGGUUACGUUAUGGUUGCCUUCUACUGUACCCUCUGCCUUCUCAGCUUAGAUGGGGUCUGCGUGAACCUUUACAGAAUAGCAGCCAUGACAGGUGGGAAAAAAUAAGAUGAAUUAUAUCAUUCCUACCCUCCCAUCCUGGGCUCAUAAGCUCGUGGGUGGCACUGCCAUCACCUCCUCCUGUCAUCAUUUUCCCCAGAUGUGUUGCUGUGAAGUAGAUUCGCUGGAAACUUACCCGUGUAAAAUUCUCACACCUUUUAGGCACUGAUGCUUCCCCGUGGAGUCUAGUCUACUGCAGUGCAAAACACAUGCAUUUAUUCUUUACAGCUCUCCAAGUUGCUGGAACUUUGGCUCAAAGUGGUAGCUCAAAGAUGUGCAUUCUCUGCAGUGUUAUUCUUAUAACCCUUUUUGUUGCGUUGGAGUCAAGGAUCCUUUUUCUUUUUUUUUCUGAAUGCCGAGGGUCCUAUUCACUUGUGGGGCCAGUCAGUGUUAUGUGAUGGUGGGCUUCCUUUAAGGGAAGGACAAAGCUCUGACGAUAUGCUAACCCAGACCAGUUCCUGUAACUCUACAAUCUGUGCUGCUGUGUUUCUCUUUCUGUGCUGGGUGUCUAAGUGCCAUGACUGUAGGUCCUGUAACGUUGUUAUUCAGUGGUCCUGUGUACCUCAGAGCCCACUGGCUGGCUAUAACUUGUCAUUUUUUUCAGAUGAAUGCUCUGUACCAUUAAGCAGGCUUUUAAAUUUGGGCCUUUUGACAAAUGAAUGUCUGCUGUUGUGUGAAAGCAGAUUUUGAAACCUGCUUUCCAUUCCUCCAGGUUUGCAGAGCCCUUUAAGAAUUUGAUGAAAAGCACAGACACUCUUCCUGGACAAAGCUUGGACUUGCCCCAGAGUCCCUCCUUACAGGCAGAAAAGGUCUCUAGAGUAGUCACCUCCUUUGGGCUGGAAGAAGGGAAGGAGGUAGAGAUAUUCUGCCUUUUGCCUCUGGAGAACCUGGAGCAAGGACCUUCUAACCAACUCAAUGGCUUAAAGAAAAAGUUUGGGUUUGCACUUUGCAGAGAAGGAGAGAGGGACCGAGAUUGCUUCGAGUCCAUGGUGUCUCCCGAGUGUCAAGAGAUGCAGGUUAAGAGCAGGUCGAUGCUAUGAACUUGACUUUAGGCUCAGUUGAGUCACGACUUUUCUGGUCUCUCGAGGAGACACCUGACACAACUCUUUGAUCAUCAUCUUCAUGUCUGAUCUUCACAUACAAGCGAAGUCAUGCAGAAAACUCGUGUUUUUUGGAUUGUGUCCAUAUGGCCUAUUUGUGUGGAAUGAAAAGAAAAAACCAAAAAUCCUUCAGAUUGGAGGUUGCAGACACACAGACACAAAGGGUGAGCUUUUGAAGGUGGCCAGGCAAGGAACACAAGCAUAGUUCCCGGAAGAGGCCAAACCACAUGGUCCUGGAUGCAAAGCAAAGCCUUAAAGAACCAGAAGGAACUUUUCAGUUAACUCCUGACCGUCCGAAACAGCGGCGCGGGAGGGGAACUGCGUAGAAAGGACAGAGACGCUCCAUCUACUGAUAUUCUGAAAAACUCAAUUGAAAAGGCCACUGACGAGCCUCCCGUCUAUCAAGAGCUAUCAGCAAACAGCCUUCAUGUCCCAACGUGGACUUUGUUUAUCCUUCCCUUUCAUUCCACCAGGAAUAGGAAGGAGCCAGCCCUCAGGGAGGUCAAAGGCGGGCAGGACAGACACAGGAAGCCACAGGAAGUCUGGGUCAGCCGCAGCCUGGACUCUGACCACUGAGAGCUGGCCGUGUUGCUCAGGUGCUAA